GACGAACGCUGGCGGCGUGCUUAACACAUGCAAGUCGAGCGGUAAGGCCCUUUCGGGGGUACACGAGCGGCGAACGGGUGAGUAACACGUGGGUGACCUGCCCUCAGCUCUGGGAUAAGCCUGGGAAACCGGGUCUAAUACCGGAUAUGACUCCAUGACGCAUGUUGUGGGGUGGAAAGCCUUGUGCGGCUGAGGAUGGGCCCGCGGCCUAUCAGCUUGUUGGUGGGGUGAUGGCCUACCAAGGCGACGACGGGUAGCCGGCCUGAGAGGGCGACCGGCCACACUGGGACUGAGACACGGCCCAGACUCUACGGGAGGCAGCAGUGGGGAAUCUUGCGCAAUGGGCGAAAGCCUGACGCAGCGACGCCGCGUGAGGGAUGACGGCCUGGU
rnacentral:rRNA from 1 species